CACGUAGGGCGCGAGCGUUGUCCGGAAUUAUUGGGCGUAAAGAGCUCGUAGGCGGCCUGUUGCGUCCGCUGUGAAAGCCCGGGGCUUAACCCCGGGUCUGCAGUGGAUACGGGCAGGCUAGAGGUAGGUAGGGGAGAAUGGAAUUCCCGGUGUAGCGGUGAAAUGCGCAGAUAUCGGGAGGAACACCGGUGGCGAAGGCGGUUCUCUGGGCCUUACCUGACGCUGAGGAGCGAAAGCGUGGGUAGCGAACAGG
rnacentral:rRNA from 1 species